GAACGAACGCUGGCGGCAUGCCUAACACAUGCAAGUCGAACGGGAUCCUAGCUUGCUAGGUGAGAGUGGCGGACGGGUGAGUAACACGUGGGAAUCUGCCUUUUGGUUCGGGAUAACCGCGGGAAACUGCGGCUAAUACCGAAUGCCCUCGAGAGAGGAAAGAUUUAUCGCCAGAAGAGGAGCCCGCGUCCGAUUAGGUAGUUGGUGGGGUAAAGGCCUACCAAGCCGACGAUCGGUAGCUGGUCUGAGAGGAUGAUCAGCCACACUGGGACUGAGAUACGGCCCAGACUCCUACGGGGAGGCAGCAGGUGGGGAAUAUUGGACAAUGGGGGCAACCCUGAUCCAGCAAUGCCGCGUGAGUGAUGAAGGCCUUAGGGUUGUAAAGCUCUUUUGCCAGGGAAGAUGAUGACUGUACCUGGAGAAUAAGCCCCGGCUAACUUCGUG
rnacentral:rRNA from 1 species